GACGAACGCUGGCGGCGUGCUUAACACAUGCAAGUCGAACGGUAAGGCUCCAGCUUGCUGGGGUACACGAGUGGCGAACGGGUGAGUAACACGUGGGUGACCUGCCCUGCACUUCGGGAUAAGCCUGGGAAACUGGGUCUAAUACCGGAUAGGACCAUGGUGUGGAUACUGUGGUGGAAAGUUUUUUCGGUGUGGGAUGGGCCCGCGGCCUAUCAGCUUGUUGGUGGGGUAAUGGCCUACCAAGGCGGCGACGGGUAGCCGGCCUGAGAGGGUGGACGGCCACAUUGGGACUGAGACACGGCCCAGACUCCUACGGGAGGCAGCAGUGGGGAAUAUUGCACAAUGGGCGGAAGCCUGAUGCAGCGACGCCGCGUGGGGGAUGACGGCCUUCGGGUUGUAAACUCCUUUCACCAUCGACGAAGGGUUUCUGACGGUAGAUGGAGAGGAAGCACCGGCUAACUACGUG
rnacentral:rRNA from 1 species